AACUAGAACAGGGAAGCACAAAGGCAGCUUUCAGGCGCAAACCAAGGAUUCGUUGGAUGGGGGAAGGUGGGGAUGGUUGCAGUCUAAGGUAUCAUAUGGAAACGGGAUAGUAUUUAACGGUUCUUCGAUAAAAAAUAACCAACGUUUGUUUAUCACACACCCUGCGCACCCCCCUAUGUACGCGACUGGCUAUGAGGCAUAUAAUUUCGCGUUAGCAGACCACGAAAAAACAGGGAUAGCUGCACCCCUCUGGCAGGGAUAGUUGUAUUGCCGUCCGUCUGUGACAAGCCAACGAAGAAUUGACUGGGAAUUUUAGAAAUGCCUAUAGUUGUGUGGGGAUUAUUGAUAUUAUCGCCAACAAGGCUUCUACAAUAGCUUCAAGGAAGGUUGGUCUAUGUGACCUAACAGGUUGCAAGUCCCACAUGGUUUGGCAGGAAAUUGAAUACUCACGUCCACUGAGCUAGAAACCCCUGUAGGGUUAUCCAUCCCUUACUGUUGGUCUCAGCAGCAUGUAUCACUUCAUCGCCCCAUGGAUUUGUGGGACACAUCUCAAACAGUUCCUACAUAUACACAACAGUAAACAGAAGAUGUAUUACAGUUCAGGCAACAAGGGAAAUCUUCAACAUAAAGUAUUGAUACAUUUCUUUUAAAUCUCCAGUCUGAAGGGAAAUGAUGAAUAAGGAGCACUUGGGGUCUCCGUGUGACACAUGCAGUAGACUUUUACAAACAAACCUCUAACUCUACAGGACUCAAAGCUUCAUCUUGAUCCUGAAAAAAGAAAUACACAUAAAUAAUUAAAUCUAUACUGUAUGUGCUAUUGGCUGUCAAAUCGUCUAUGUGAAUCUAGUAAUUUGAUAUAAGAUUCAUUUAUGCCCAAUAAAUUAUCACCAGAUAUAGUAAUUUCUGUUUAUUACCUUGUCGUAUUUGUUGAACAGAUCAAUAAGAAACUCAUAACCAGCA